rnacentral:rRNA from 1 species
GUCGAGAAUCUUUCACAAUGGGGGCAACCCUGAUGGAGCGACGCCGCGUGGAGGAUAAGGUCUUCGGAUUGUAAACUCCUGUCAUGCGUGAACAAGGUUGCUUGGUUAAUACCUGGGCAAAUUGAUGGUAACGCAAGAGGAAGAGACGGCUAACUCUGUGCCAGCAGCCGCGGUAAUACAGAGGUCUCAAGCGUUGUUCGGACUCACUGGGCGUAAAGGGUGCGUAGGUGGCGUGGUAAGUCAGAUGUGAAAGCCCGGGGCUCAACCUCGGAACUGCAUCCGAUACUGCCAUGCUAGAGUACUGGAGAGGUGACUAGAAUUCUCGGUGUAGCAGUGAAAUGCGUAGAUAUCGAGAGGAAUACCAAAGGCGUAGGCAGGUCACUGGACAGUUACUGACACUGAGGCACGAAGGCCAGGGGAGCGAACGGGAUUAGAAACCCGAGUAGUCC